GUUUAAUAUUAUUUAAAAUAAUGUGGGAAAAACUUCGCAUAAGAUUUCAACGUUUUGGGCGGAGGAAUAAACCUUUUUAUAGGAUAGUGGCCGCAAAAAAUGUUUACAAAAGGGACGGUAAGUUUAUUGAAAUUCUUGGAAAGUUUGACCCUAUGUUAGAUAAAAAUAAUACAAGAAGUGCACUUUUUAAUAUUGAAAGAAUAAAGUUUUGGCUUGCUUUAGGAGCUGAACCCACGGAUCCUGUUGCUAAGCUCCUUGCCAAGGUUGGGUUACUACCACCUUUUUAUAAACAAGUUGCUUUAAGAAGAUUAGGCCUUCGAGUUGUUGAAUAUGAAGAAAAGUACGCGCAGUAUCAGGCCGAACUAAAAGAAUGGGAGGAAAAAUUUAGUAAUCUCAAGUCAAACGA